GGUGGGAUAAUUGAAUUAUACUCUAUUUUCAGGUUUACCCAUCCUGUUUGGUGGACGUUGAAAGGGACUACUUGGCCUUAAGCAAGUGGUAUUCAAAAUUAUCAAUAUCCCUGGAAUUCACCAAGAUUGUUCUGCACUGGCCAAAGGGAAACCUUAAUCUGUCAUUACACACUCCUGUCAGAUUUGAGCAUGACCUCAUUGAAGUAAAUGCUAGAGCAGAGCCAAAAGAGCCUUCUGCAGAGCCAUUGGUUGAGGAGCCAAGAAAUCCCAAAUGCAAAAGCACUAUAUGGAACC